GAUGAAGAACGCAGCGAAAUGCGAUAAGUAAUGUGAAUUGCAGAAUUCAGUGAAUCAUCGAAUCUUUGAACGCACAUUGCGCCCGUCAGUAUUCUGGCGGGCAUGCCUGUUCGAGCGUCAUUACGCCCCUCAAGUCCCCUGUGGACUUGGUGUUGGGGAUCGGCGAGGCUGGUUUUCCAGCACAGCCGCCCCUUAAAUUAAUUGGCGGUCUCGCCGUGGCCCUCCUCUGCGCAGUAGUAAAACACUCGCAACAGGAGCCCGGCGCGGUCCACUGCCGUAAAACCCCCCAACUUUUUAUAGUUGACCUCGAAUCAGGUAGGACUACCCGCUGAACUUAAGCAUAUCAAUAAGCGGAGGA
rnacentral:misc_RNA from 1 species